CGCAUCUGUGCAUGCAGCAUAUCAAUAAGCGGAGGAAAAGGAAACUAACAAGGAUUCCCCUAGUAACGGCGAGUGAAGCGGGAAGAGCUCAAAUUUGAAAUCUUAAAGGGUUUCCCUUUACGAAUUGUAGUUUAAAGAAGUGUUUUCUGUUGAGGUUUUGGUAAAAGUUCUUUGGAAUAGGACAUCAUAGAGGGUGAGAAUCCCGUAUUUGACCUUUACUUUCAACUUUGUGAUACACUUUCAAAGAGUCGGAUUGUUUGGGAAUGCAGUCCAAAAUGGGUGGUAAAUUUCAUCUAAAGCUAAAUAUUGGCGAGAGACCGAUAGCGAACAAGUACCGUGAGGGAAAGAUGAAAAGAACUUUGAAAAGAGAGUUAAACAGUACGUGUAAAUUGUCAAAAGGGAAGCGUUUGACACCAGUGUUGUUUUUCUGAAAAUCAAUUAAAGAACUGUUUAUGCUAAGCUGUUUAGACUUUAUCAGCUAUCUGUUUAGUUUUGAGCUUUUCUUUAAUGCACUUUUCAGUUAACAAGUCAACAUCAAUUUCUUUUGCUGUAAAAAAGCUUGAGGAAGGUGGCUUGAGAUUCGUCUUAAGUGUUUAUAGCCUCUUGCCUAUGCAGUCGGAGAGAUUGAGGUCUGCAGCGUAGAUCCUUCGGGGCUAAAUGCAUUUGUGCUAAGUUAUAGCAUUUUAUAGACAACCUGUUGACUAUGAUUUGUCUUGUAGCUUACUCGCUUAUGUUAUUUUACCUACGCUUAGGAUGUUGAGUCGUAGAGCACGCAG
rnacentral:rRNA from 1 species